ACACGACUACAUUAGACUACCCUGUACGUCCCAGCCGUAAACUAUGCUCGCUAGGUGUCAGGCAUGGCGCGACCGUGUCUGGUGCCGCAGGGAAGCCGUGAAGCGAGCCACCUGGGAAGUACGGCCGCAAGGCUGAAACUUAAAGGAAUCGGCGGGGAGCACAACAACGGGUGGAGCCUGCGGUUUAAUUGGUCUCAACGCCGGGAAGCUCACCGGAUAAGACAGCGGAAUGAUUGCCGGGCUGAAGACUCUGCAUGACUAGCUG
rnacentral:rRNA from 1 species